AACGAACGCUGGCGGCGGGGUUUAGGCAUGCAAGUCGAGCGAGAAAGGGGCAACCCGAGUAAAGCGGCGUAAGGGUGAGUAAUAGGUAGUUUACGUAUCUUUCAGACGCGGAUAAUUUCCCGAAAGGGAUUGUAAUACGCGAUGAGACCACGCGGCAUCCGUGCUGUGGGGCCAAAGGUUCGGGAUCCUUCGGGACCGAGCGCUGGAUGAGCGGACGACCUCCGAUUAGCUAGAUGGCGGGGUAACGGCCCACCAUGGCGAUGAUCGGUAGCCGGCCUGAGAGGGUGUCCGGCCACACUGGGACUGAGACACUGCCCAGACUCCUACGGGAGGCUGCAGUCGCGAAUCAUUCACAAUGGGCGCAAGCCUGAUGAUGCCACGCCGCGUGCGGGAUGAAGGCCCUUUUGGGUUGUAAACCGCUGUCAAGGAAGGGGAAACGCACGUCGCGAAUAGCGCCGUGUUUGACUGCUUUCUAAAGG
rnacentral:rRNA from 1 species